UAGUGAACCAGUACCGUGAGGGAAAGGCGAAAAGAACCCCGGCGAGGGGAGUGAAAAAGAACCUGAAACCGUGUACGUACAAGCAGUGGGAGCCCCACCACUAAGCCAGUGGUGAACUCCACAUACGCAUCCUUUGCUGAGGAUACGGUUAACGGAGCGAAAGCGACGUUCAACCUCAAAAGAAGCAGAGGGGGCUUAGUGGUGGGGUGACUGCGUACCUUUUGUAUAAUGGGUCAGCGACUUAUAUUCUGUAGCAAGGUUAACCGUAUAGGGGAGCCGGAGGGAAACCGAGUCUUAAC
rnacentral:rRNA from 1 species